rnacentral:ncRNA from 1 species
CGUCUCCUCCAUGUCUCCUCCUGAUAUGGAUUCGGCCCGCCGCUUGGUGGGCCUUUCUUU